GCAUAUCAAUAAGCGGAGGAAAAGAAACUAACAAGGAUUCCCCUAGUAACUGCGAGUGAAGCGGGAAAAGCUCAAAUUUAAAAUCUGGUAGUCUUUGGCUGCCCGAGUUGUAAUCUAGAGAAGCGUUAUCCGCGCUGGACCGUGUAUAAGUCUCCUGGAAUGGAGCGUCAUAGAGGGUGAGAAUCCCGUCUUUAACACGGACUCCCAGGGCUUUGUGAUGCGCUCUCAAAGAGUCGAGUUGUUUGGGAAUGCAGCUCUAAAUGGGUGGUAAAUUCCAUCUAAAGCUAAAUAUUGGCGAGAGACCGAUAGCGAACAAGUACCGUGAGGGAAAGAUGAAAAGAACUUUGGAAAGAGAGUUAAACAGUACGUGAAAUUGUUGAAAGGGAAACGCUUGAAGUCAGUCGCGUUGAUCAGGGAUCAACCUUGCUUUUGCUUGGUGUACUUCCUGGUUAACGGGUCAGCAUCAAUUUUGACCAGUGGAAAAAGGUCAGGGGAAUGUGGCAUCUUCGGAUGUGUUAUAGCCUCUGGUCAUAUACAUUGGUUGGGAUUGAGGAACUCAGCACGCCGCAAGGCCGGGUUUUACCACGUUCGUGCUUAGGAUGCUGGCAUAAUGGCUUUAAUCGACCCGUCUUGAAACACGGACCA
rnacentral:rRNA from 1 species